rnacentral:rRNA from 1 species
UACGUAGGGCGCAAGCGUUGUCCGGAAUUAUUGGGCGUAAGGAGCUCGUAGGCGGCUUGUCACGUCGGAUGUGAAAGCCCGAGGCUUAACCUCGGGUCUGCAUUCGAUACGGGCUAGCUAGAGUGUGGUAGGGGAGAUCGGAAUUCCUGGUGUAGCGGUGAAAUGCGCAGAUAUCAGGAGGAACACCGGUGGCGAAGGCGGAUCUCUGGGCCAUUACUGACGCUGAGGAGCGAAAGCGUGGGGAGCGAACAGG